rnacentral:rRNA from 1 species
ACUCCUACGGGAGGCAGCAGUGAGGAAUAUUGGUCAAUGGUCGCAAGACUGAACCAGCCAUGCCGCGUGCAGGAUGACGGUCCUAUGGAUUGUAAACUGCUUUUGUACGGGAAGAAACACUCCUACGUGUAGGGGCUUGACGGUACCGUAAGAAUAAGGAUCGGCUAACUCCGUGCCAGCAGCCGCGGUAAU